rnacentral:rRNA from 1 species
CUAUUAAUAACCCCAAAAACACCGGCUAUUAAACAACAAACCAUUUUUCCCCCCAAGUAUGGGCGACAGAAAAGGAAACCAUGUGCGCCAUAAAAAAGUACCGCAAGGGAACGCUGAAAAAGAAAUGAAACAAACCAGUAAAGUUAAAAAAAGCAGAGACUUACGCUCGUACCUUUUGCAUCAUGAUUUAGCUAGUAAAGACCAAGCAAAAGGCACUUUAGUUUGACUUCCCGAAACUAAGUGAGCUACUCCAAGACAGCCUAAAAGCAGGGCUAACCCGUCUCUGUGGCAAAAGAGUGGGAUGAUUUUAGAGUAGAGGUGACAAACCUAUCGAACUUAGUUAUAGCUGGUUGCCUAAGAAAUGAAUAGAAGUUCAGCUUUUUGAUUUCUCGCCUCAAAUUUAUUUUAUACUUGUUUGACUCAGAUAAACACCAAAAAAGUUAAUUAAAGGGGGUACAGCUCCUUUAAAACAAGACACAACUUCAUCAGCCGGGUAAGGAUCAUAAUUAUUAAGGUAUAAAUGUUUUAGUGGGCCUGAAAGCAGCCACCUACAAGAAAGCGUUAAAGCUCAUUCAUAGCCCCUCCCCGUCAAUUUAGAUAACAAGUCCUAACCCGCUAGUUUUAUUAGGCCGCCCCAUGCCCACAUGGGGGCGAUCCUGCUAAUAUGAGUAAUAAGAAAACCUCAAAAUUUUCUCCUUGCACGCGUGUAAAUCGAAACGGACCCCCCACCGAAACUUAAUCGGCCCCAAAAAGAGGGUAAUGAACUACCAACCCUGAUAACAAGAAAAACACCCAAAGAUUGACCGUUAACCCUACACUGGUGUGCCUACAAGGAAAGACUAAAAGAAAAAGAAGGAACUCGGCAAAUAAAAGCCUCGCCUGUUUACCAAAAACACCGCCUCUUGUAUACAAAAAAUAAGAGGUCC